CCACCCUUGUAGUGUUGAUGUUCUAACGUCGACCCCUUAUCGGGGUUGCGGACAGUGCCUGGUGGGUAGUUUGACUGGGGCGGUCUCCUCCCAAAGAGUAACGGAGGAGCACGAAGGUGGGCUAAUCACGGUUGGACAUCGUGAGGUUAGUGCAAUGGCAUAAGCCCGCUUGACUGCGAGAAUGACAAUUCGAGCAGGUGCGAAAGCAGGUCAUAGUGAUCCGGUGGUUCUGAAUGGAAGGGCCAUCGCUCAACGGAUAAAAGGUACUCCGGGGAUAACAGGCUGAUACCGCCCAAGAGUUCAUAUCGACGGCGGUGUUUGGCACCUCGAUGUCGGCUCAUCACAUCCUGGGGCUGAAGUCGGUCCCAAGGGUAUGGCUGUUCGCCAUUUAAAGUGGUACGCGAGCUGGGUUUAGAACGUCGUGAGACAGUUCGGUCCCUAUCUGCCGUGGGCGUUGGAAGAUUGAAGGGGGCUGCUCCUAGUACGAGAGGACCGGAGUGGACGAACCUCUGGUGUUCGGGUUGUGUCGCCAGACGCAUUGCCCGGUAGCUAAGUUCGGAAUCGAUAACCGCUGAAAGCAUCUAAGCGGGAAGCGAGCCCUGAGAUGAGUCUUCCCUGAUACUUUAAGUAUCCUAAAGGGUUGUCGGAG
rnacentral:rRNA from 1 species